rnacentral:rRNA from 1 species
CAAUAGCGUAUAUUAAAGUUGUUGCAGUUAAAAAGCUCGUAGUUGGAUUUGUGGCGUACGGUGUGUUCCGGGCACUUGUUGCCUGAGUAACCUGCUGUUGCCAUCCUUGGGUGGAACCUGUGUGGCAUUAGGUUGUCGUGCAGGGGAUGCCCAUCAUUUACUGUGAAGAAAUUAGAGUGUUCAAAGCAGGCUUAUGCCGUUGAAUAUAUUAGCAUGGAAUAAUGAGAUAGGACUUUUUUGCUAUUUUGUUGGUUUGCGCAAAGAGGUAAUGAUUAAUAGGGACAGUUGGGGGUAUUCGUAUUCCAUUGUCAGAGGUGAAAUUCUUGGAUUUUUGGAAGACGAACUACUGCGAAAGCAUUUACCAAGGAUGUUUUCAUUAA